rnacentral:rRNA from 1 species
UGGGGAAUUUUGGACAAUGGGGGAAACCCUGAUCCAGCCAUCCCGCGUGUGCGAUGAAGGCCUUCGGGUUGUAAAGCACUUUUGGCAGGAAAGAAACGUCGCGGGUUAAUACCCCGCGAAACUGACGGUACCUGCAGAAUAAGCACCGGCUAACUACGUGCCAGCAGCCGCGGUAAUACGUAGGGUGCAAGCGUUAAUCGGAAUUACUGGGCGUAAAGCGUGCGCAGGCGGUUCGGAAAGAAAGAUGUGAAAUCCCAGAGCUUAACUUUGGAACUGCAUUUUUAACUACCGGGCUAGAGUGUGUCAGAGGGAGGUGGAAUUCCGCGUGUAGCAGUGAAAUGCGUAGAUAUGCGGAGGAACACCGAUGGCGAAGGCAGCCUCCUGGGAUAACACUGACGCUCAUGCACGAAAGCGUGGGGAGCAAACAGGAUUAGAUACCCUGGUAGUCCACGCCCUAAAACGAUGUCAACUAGCUGUUGGGGCCUUCGGGCCUUGGUAGCGCAGCUAACGCGUGAAGUUGACCGCCUGGGGAGUACGGUCGCAAGAUUAAAACUCAAAGGAAUUG